rnacentral:piRNA from 1 species
UGAUGAUUAACGUGAAGUCCUGUCAGGAG